rnacentral:rRNA from 1 species
AUACGGAGGGUGCAAGCGUUAAUCGGAAUUACUGGGCGUAAAGCGUACGUAGGCGGUCCGUUAAGUUAGAUGUGAAAGCCACGGGCUUAACCUGGGAACUGUAUUUAAAACUGGCGGACUAGAGUUGAGUAGAGGGGAGUGGAAUUUCAGGUGUAGCGGUGAAAUGCGUAGAGAUCUGAAGGAACACCAGUGGCGAAGGCGACUCCCUGGACUCGAACUGACGCUGAGGUACGAAAGCGUGGGUAGCAAACGGGAUUAGAUACCCGAGUAGUCC